rnacentral:rRNA from 1 species
CAAUUUUUUUUGAGAGUUUGAUCCUGGCUCAGGAUGAACGCUGGCGGCGUGCCUUAGGCAUGCAAGUCGAACGCUUGUACGUAGCACAAGGAAAUUCGAAGCACGAAUAUCGAAACUCGAAACAAUAUCAAAAUUCGAAUGACCAAGAUACUAAACGUUUGGAACAUUUGGACUUAGAAAAUUAGAAUUUGUUUAGUAUUUCGAAUUUCGGAUUUUCUCGUGCUAUGCACGAGAGUGGCGGACGGGUGAGUAACGCGUAGGAAUCUACCCCUUAGGCGGACCAUAGCCCCUCGAAAGAGGGGGUAAUAGUCCAUAGUUCUCGUAAGAGUAAAGCACUUAACGGUGCACCAAGGGAUGAGCCUGCGUCCUAUCAGCUAGUUGGCGGGGUAAAAGCCCACCAAGGCGAUGACGGGUAGCUGGACUGAG